rnacentral:tRNA from 1 species
GCGGGUGUAGCUCAGUGGUAGAGCAGUAGCUUCCCAAGCUACGUGUCGGGCGUCGAUUCGCCUCACCCGCU